GGACUUCUGGCCCAAUAAAUAAGGCGCCUGACUACGGAUCAGGAGAUUCCAGGUUCGAGUCCUGGCAGGGUCG
rnacentral:tRNA from 1 species